rnacentral:rRNA from 1 species
CUAUGCGCGUAGGUGUGCUGUACUACGAGUACCCGGGGUGCCGAAGUGAAAACGUGAAACGUGCCGCCUGGGAAGUACGGUCGCAAGGCUGAAACUAAAAGGAAUUGGCGGGGGAGCACCACAACGGGUGGAGCCUGCGGUUUAAUUGGACUCAACGCCGGGCAGCUCACCGGAUAGGACAGCGGAAUGAUAGCCGGGCUGAAGACCUUGCUUGACCAGCUGAGAGGAGGUGCAUGGCCGUCGUCAGUUCGUACUGUGAAGCAUCCUGUUUAGUCAGGCAACGAGCGAGACCCACGCCAACAGUUGCUAGCAUGUUCUCCGGAAUGAUGGGGGGCGCUGUUGGGACCGCCUCUGCUAAAGAGGAGGAAGGAAUGGGCAACGGUAGGUCAGCAUGCCCCGAAUUAUCCGGGCUACACGCGGGCUACAAUGGUCAGGACAAUGGGAAACGGCACUGAAAAGUGUAGUCAAUCUCCUAAACCUGUCCCAAGUUCGGAUUGUGGGCUGCAACUCGCCCACAUGAAGCUGGAAUCAGUAGUAAUCGCGUUUCAAAAUAGCGCGGUGAA